GCAUAAUCAUUUGCCUUUUAAUUGGAGGUUAGUAUGAAUGUAUAAACGAGGGACCCCCUGUCUCAUAAAAACACCUAAAAAUUAACCUGCAGGUGAAGAGGCCUGCAUACCCCUAAAAGACAAGAAGACCCUAUAGAGUUUUACCUACAUAGGACAUAUCUUCAAGUAACCUACAUUGCAGAUAUGGCACUAGAUAGUUUAGUUGGGGCAACUAAGGAAUAAAAAAACCUUCCUACUCUCUACAUUAAGAACACCUUCACCCGACAGAUCCUUUAUAAGAUUAAAAAAAUAACACUACCUUAGGGAUAACAGACUAAUCCCCCCAGAGAGUCCAAAUUGACGGGGGGGUUUGGCACCUCGAUGUUGGCUUAAGACAACCCCUAAAUGCAGCAGUUUAGAAACGUUGGUUUGUUCAACCAUUAAAGUCUU
rnacentral:rRNA from 1 species